UACGUAGGGUCCGAGCGUUGUCCGGAAUUAUUGGGCGUAAAGAGCUCGUAGGCGGUCUGUCGCGUCGGCUGUGAAAACCCGAGGCUCAACCUCGGGCCUGCAGUCGAUACGGGUGGACUAGAGGUAGGCAGGGGAGAACGGAAUUCCUGGUGUAGCGGUGAAAUGCGCAGAUAUCAGGAGGAACACCGGUGGCGAAGGCGGGUCUCUGGGCCGAUACUGACGCUGAGGAGCGAAAGCGUGGGGAGCGAACAGG
rnacentral:rRNA from 1 species